AACGAACGCUGGCGGCAGGCCUAACACAUGCAAGUCGAGCGCCCCGCAAGGGGAGCGGCGGACGGGUGAGUAACGCGUGGGAACGUGCCUCUUGCUUCGGAAUAGCCUCGGGAAACUGGGGGUAAUACCGAAUGUGCCCUACGGGGGAAAGAUUUAUCGGCAAGAGAUCGGCCCGCGUUGGAUUAGGUAGUUGGUGGGGUAAUGGCCUACCAAGCCGACGAUCCAUAGCUGGUUUGAGAGGAUGAUCAGCCACACUGGGACUGAGACACGGCCCAGACUCCUACGGGAGGCAGCAGUGGGGAAUCUUAGACAAUGGGCGCAAGCCUGAUCUAGCCAUGCCGCGUGAGCGAUGAAGGCCUUAGGGUUGUAAAGCUCUUUCGUGGGGGAAGAUAAUGACUGUACCCCAAGAAGAAGCCCCGGCUAACUCCGUGCCAGCCGCCGCCGUAA
rnacentral:rRNA from 1 species